GUUUUCUUAGCUUAAAGGUAAAGCUGUGUUCUUCUAAAGCAUAGAUUUUGGUUCGAUUCCAAAAGAGAACU